GUAAAUGGAAAUCAUGAAAAUUAUAUAUUCUUUCUGGGAAUGUUAACUGAAGAAUAAUAUACAGUCACCGAUAAAAAAAGAAUGAUACAUAUUUGCUUGGAUUAUGAGAUGAUUAUAACUAUUCUUGCGAUACCUUCCUCACUUUAAUACUAACUUGAAAACUUAGAGUUUGUUUCAAUGGUAAUAUAUGCAUUUUCUUUCAACAAAAGUUACAAGACUCCGACGUUUCUUAUCAGACAUUUUGUAAACUGUUUAUGGUCUCCGCAAUUGUUACUGCAUGAUUGUUUCCCAAUUUGCCAAUGUCUCAUAGUUUAUUGCUUUGGAGGGAUAUUAUUUGAUUGUUCAGUUAUAGCCCUGCAUAAAAAUAAUACUUAUUUCGUUACUAAGUUGCAGUAAUAUCACCCUUGUAAGGCUACAAUAUAAUUAUGCUCCAUGUUACGAAAUAUCAAGCAAAAAUCAAGAGAUUUUCUAUACUUUAAACUGAGCAUAGAACAUUAAACUCCAAGAUUAAUAAGACAUGGAGAAGGUAAGAGGAAGGAGUUCUCGAUCAACAAAUCUAAUUUAAGGAAAACCUAGUCAAAAUAUUAAAGGUUUACCUAUUGUACUUGAUUACAUUAAUUAUCAAGUACGGUAAGAUAUUGAACAAAAAUAAAAGAGCAAGGAAUUCAUGAAGCUAUAAGGUAUCAUACUCGAGGUUUUUUCCCCUUGAAAUCCUUUAAACUUUUGGGUUCAACACUCAUUACAUGGAAGCAAUAUAAGUCUGAACUCCAACUCAUUAGACCGGUCAUCAAUCAAAUGAUCCCUUGAACUUAUACAUGAAGUGGAGAUAGUAAUAACUUUUCUCACGGGCUACGAACAGAGCAAAGAGCUAUAUAAACAACAAAAAUGUCUAAAAGUAUGUUCGAGGAAACUAACAUAAAACCUAUGAAAGUCAAGCAGUAGACUUGAACAACAAUGGAACACAUUAAAAGCUAAUCAAAAUAAUAGGCAAUCAAACGGAUGAAUAUGAAAGUAAUUAAGUUAUGAAGUAGUGAGUUUAAAUGGGGAAAGGAACAUGGCUAUAGGCUACUUAUUUAAAUUGGAAAACUACUUAGAAGAGACAUAUCAAAUUAGUUUUUUCUUUUUAAAUAAUAAAUCAAUAUAUCCAAAAAGUAGAACACAGUCAAAAAUUUAAGAAUAAAGUUAAAUAGAUCCUGGAAAGACUUUAAAAGAUGAAAAAUAAAUAGAGAUUAUAUCUCAUUGGAGUAGCACAUUAUGUAUCUCCGUUUGGGUCUAAAAUUUGUAUAUACAAAUGACAUAUCAACUGUAAGAAAUAAUUUAUCAAAUUUACUACACUUACAGUAAAGUUUCAAGCUUCUCAAUCAUCAUUAUCAAAAUUAGGUGCGCGAAAAAGAUAAAACACCCCAAAAGGCUUAUUUCUUAUGGGUAUCCUAUAUGAAACAUGACCCUUAUACAAUCCAACCAAAAAGUAUCAACCAAUAAAUUCAAGAAAAAGUAAAAAAUACAGAAACAUCAACUUUUAUGAAAUUACUCAAAGGACAAACCUCAAUGGAAGAAGUAGGGGUAGAGCCACCAUCAGUACCACCAGUCUACCUUGUUGCUUCUGAUGUUAAACUUUGGCGAAAACCAACACGAUUGGUUAUUUAUAACAAAAUCAAAUAAAAUAAGAUCGGCAAAAGAAUCAGCAAAAUUAAUAUGUGUUUGUCUACUUUCAAUCUAAAAAUUCAUAUUGAUCGAAUAUAAUUAAGCGCUAACAAAUUACGUAAAGAAACAUAUUAGAUAUUCCCUAAGUUGAUAUAAACAUGGGGUGUGAACGAUAAAAUAUGUAUUAUUAAGAUAGCUACUAUUAGUCGCAAGUUUAUGUUAGUGUAUAAGUGAUACAAAUUCGGUUAGUAGACACAAUAAUUAAAUAAAAGUAGAUGUUGAUACAAAAAUUAACUUAGAAGGAAAAGAGGAGAAGGAAGGCAUUACCAAGUAAUGAUAAUAGUGGUUGAUCUUUUACUUUGAAAAAAAAAAGUUUCUUUUCUCUUUUGUGAUUGCAGCACCAACAAAGUGAAUGCAAGUGAUGAAAAACUUGAUUUAUUUGUGACUAACAUAUACUGAAAUCACAAUCAAAAAUUAUUUUCCCAAUAAACAGAAAAUCAAGAGAGCAAAAAAUGAAGAACAUCAAAUUUAAAGCAAAAAUUUUAGAUCCGUAAAAUCUGAAAUAUCCACUUUCAGUUUUUGAUAUUUUUUAAAAAAGGAAAAAGAUUUACCGGCCCUUUUUGUCGCUUAAGCUACCAACUUGAAUGACAACUAUUGGAUUUCCAUUCAGAUCACGACAUGCGAUACAAUUUUUUCAUUAGUUUGAUAGAUUUCCAGUGGUUGGUUUUUUCCCGUGGAAGAGAAGAGACAGUCGAAUCAGGAAAAGGGUAUUUUAGAAACUGUUGGAAAUGAUUAUAAGUGGAAACGUUUUGGGUUUUCUAAAUAAUUUUACCGCUGACGUUUAGAGAGAC
rnacentral:lncRNA from 1 species